UACCGAGCCGGUCAAGCCAGGCUCCGGUGCGGCCUGCCGGGGGUCAUGCUGGCCAACACCCAGGUCCCAAUGUAAUUUCUUUUUUCGUUUGUUUACAUCAGCGGUUUCUGUUCUUUUCUGGUCGUGGGUCGCCGGAGCUAGCCCACCAUCAUCUAUCGUCUAGUCGCGUGCGUUGCGGUUCUGGAAUUUCGACGGCUUGAGGUUGGUGCGGGCGGCGCCGCGGCGAGCGACUUCACUUGGGCAUUGCGGUCGGCGACGAGCGCUGCAGCUGGAAUUGCGAGGUCGCGAGGGCUACAGCUGAGGAUAGGGGCAGGCGGCGGCGCGGCGGGUGUCCUCGGCGGCGCUGUCAUGGUGGGUGGGUCGAUUAGUCUCCAGUUCCGUUGAAUCCGCAGCGGUGUGAGCGGCGCCGGGCAGUGCGGCGUCUUGUAUUGCCGGGCUUCCAGGCAGCACGGUGUCUGGUCGUCGUCGAGCAGCAUGGCGGGUGGCCGCUGCGGGCGGCGCUGCAUGUUCAAUCAACAUCCUUGAGCGGCAGGUGGACUACACCCAUGGACAUCACUACGUCAGGUACGUGGCUCGUUUGUUCUCCCUUGUCACAUCCCUCUCUCUUCUCAACACAAUGGCGAGCCACCAUGCCUCAGCUCCACCCCGUCGGAUCUGACCUCGCCGAGAAUCCGGCAGCCGGAUCUGUUGCCGGAGUUCCCCGGAGUCUCGCACCAGCAGACCUCCACCAUCCUCCCGAAACCGGGCGCCGCCUUCACCACCGCCACACAGUCCCCCGGCGUAUAUCAGCAACGCCGAGCCUCUUUUUCCCCUUAUUCAAAAGCAAAAUUAAGACAAAGAAGUGAACUAGGGAGGCAGGGUGCCUGAUGUGAUUGUUGAGAUGGAACGGUUUAAUUGGAUGCUAUGUUGCAUGGAGCUGAGGGAUAACAAUUUUUCAGUCGCCGGAGGGAUUGCUGAACAACUGAAGCUAAUAGGAAAUUUCUGGCCAUAUGCAAAUUGAGCAACUUGAAGACAAGUUCAGACCUGUAUCUGGCAGUGAAUUUGUGCAAGUCGGCUUCCAGUCCGAGAAAUCAGCAAGCAACCACUUCGAAGACUCCCAUCUACCCCACAUGCCAAGGCGUCCUCAACUGUAAGGCCACAUUGCAUUGGAAUGUUGUUGGCUUCCAUUUUUCAUGUCCACAGUUAUCCACUGGCUUCUCUCAACAGUUGAUCAACAUGCUUGAAAGGAGUUUGGAACAGGAGGGUAAUCAAAAUCUAGUAAUUUCUGCGAUGGUACCAUUAUGUCAAACAGAAAGUUGGAGCUUCAAAUGGCAAGACCAAUUGGCUCUUAUCAUCGAGUUCCUUGUCAAGUUCACUUCAAUAGUCACGCCAAGAUGGCAGGCUGGCAGCUGUGGUUUGUACCAAUUGGUCUUGCUCUUUCUAGGUAAAAUUCCAAUUGGUGUUGCUCUUUCUGAACUCUUGGGAAACCAUAUCGCUGGUCCAGAUCGUCCCUUCUUGGAUAUACUUAACAUUGUAUUCCUGCUGCAUGUCUUCUCCGCUGAGCAUCAAGUGAAGUGAUAAAAGUCGGCGACGACAUUAUGUAGUUUCUUUUGUUAAACUUUAUAUCAUGCCUCAUGCAUAAACUAUCAUUAUCUCAUUUGAAUUGUGUAUACACUAGGCUUCACAUGUAAUUAUUGGUUACACAAAUAUUAUGUGUAUUCUUUUCUUACUAGCCCUUUCUAGUUUGUAAGUUGCUAGACUUCAGAUCAGAAUUUUAUCAUUUUACGGCGCAUUA